CUUUGAUUCGUGAUACUCGCAAACUAGUUCAGAAAAUGUUAGCUGUCCAUAUUGGUCAUGUAUAUCGUGAGGUGAACAGAGUUGCAGACUGGGUCGUCUUAUUGGGACCAUCACAAUUUUAAUACAAACGUAUAUUUUUAUUCUCAACGGGAAAGCCUUGAGACUGGCAUCACACGUCUGGUCCCACAACCUGAAACCCCAACUUUCUCAGCAAAAAUACGAGUUUCACACGCACCCUACGUCUCUCAGAAAAGUUAGAUGCGCUCGAAUAUAUGCCUUGGCGCCGUCAUGCAGGAGAAAUUAAAGAAGAAAAUAUCAUACUCGCCGGAUCCUACCGUAGUACCUUUCACACAAUCGCUAUUC
rnacentral:lncRNA from 1 species